rnacentral:rRNA from 1 species
AUGCUAAUGAUGUUUAAUUUUGACAAAAAAGAAAUUCAGACUCUGAACUCCAUGAAUUAUCAUUGCGACAAGACCAAGGAAGAUUCUCUUUUCUGCAUUGACGAAGCUGUCAAGAAAGGGUUGAUAUCACCAGCUAAGAACAUCAAUUUUGCUGAAUGGACCAAAAAACGCUAUGAGAACAUACCACAACAGACCGAUGGGACUUCCUGUGCGGUUUGGACACUGCAGUACAUGUUGUCAUGGAACGGGGAUGAAAUGACCGAUAUUUUGAACCAGAAGGAAGUGUACGAUGCCCAGCAAGCAGCUCUACCUGAUGCUUCAGAAGAGGACGUACAAUUAGUCAACAAUCCUGAUGGUUCGAACGAACCUGACACAUCCAACUCCCAGAAGGAUACCGGUGCACCCAACUCCCCCGAAAAUGGUGCACCCAACUCCCCCAAAAGGAAGAGACCACGUGGACGCCCGAGAAAGCAAGUCGAUCCCGAGUAG